UGGUGGAGUGAUUUGUCUGCUUAAUUGCGAUAACGAACGAGACCUUAACCUGCUAAAUAGCCCGCGUUGCCUUGGCAGCGCGCUGGCUUCUUAGAGGGACUAUCGGCUCAAGCCGAUGGAAGUUUGAGGCAAUAACA
rnacentral:rRNA from 1 species